rnacentral:rRNA from 1 species
GACGAACGCUGGCGGCAUGCCUAAUACAUGCAAGUCGAGCGAACAGAUGAAGUGCUUGCACUUCUGACGUUAGCGGCGAACGGGUGAGUAACACGUAAGGAAUCUACCUAUAAGCGGGGGAUAACAUUCGGAAACGGGUGCUAAUACCGCAUAAUAUCUUCUUCCGCAUGGAAGGAGAUUGAAAGACGGCUCUGCUGUCACUUAUAGAUGACCUUGCGGUGCAUUAGUUAGUUGGUGGGGUAAUGGCCUACCAAGACGAUGAUGCAUAGCCGACGUGAGAGGGUGAUCGGCCACAUUGGGACUGAGACACGGCCCAAACUCCUACGGGAGGCAGCAGUAGGGAAUCUUCCGCAAUGGGCGAAAGCCUGACGGAGCAAUGCCGCGUGAGCGAAGAAGGCCUUCGGGUCGUAAAACUCUGUUAUAAGAGAAGAACAAAUUGUAGAGUAACUGCUACAGUCUUGACGGUAUCUUAUCAGAAAGCCACGGCUAACUACGUGCCAGCCGCCGCGGUAA